ACCAAGGAGUCUGACAUGCGUGCGAGUCGAUGGGUUCUAGAACCUGGGAUGCGCAAGGAAGCUGACGAGCGGGAGGCCCUCACGAGCCACACCGCUGGCCGACCCUGAUCUUUCGUGAAGGGUUUGAGUUGGAGCACGCCUGUCGGGACCCGAAAGAUGGUGAACUAUGCCUCAGCGGGGCGAAGCCAGAGGAAAAUCUGGUGGAGGCUCGAAGCGAUACUCACGUGCAAAUCGUUCGUUACUUGGGUAUAGGGGCGAAAGACUAAUCGAACCAUCUAGUAGCUGGUUCCCUCCGAAGUUUCCCUCAGGAUAGCUGGAGCCCAUUAUGAGUUCGAUCAGGUAAAUCCAAUGAUUAGAGGCAUUGGGGACGCAACGUCCUCGACCUAUUCUCAAACUUUAAAUAGAUAGGAUGGCGCGGCUGCUUCGGUGAGCCGUGCCAUGGAAUCGGGUGCUCCAAGUGGGCCAUUUUUGGUAAGCGGAACUGGCGAUGCGGGAUGAACCGGAAGCCGGGAUACGGUGCCCAACUGCGCGCUAACCUAGAACCCACAAAGGGUGUUGGUCGAUUAAGACAGCAGGACGGUGGUCAUGGAAGUCGAAAUCCGCUAAGGAGUGUGUAACAACUCACCUGCUGAAUCAACUAGCGCAAAAAAUGGAUGGCGCUGAAGAGCGCGACCCACACCCGGCCAUCUGGGCGAGCGCCAUGCCCCGAUGAGUAGGAGGGCGCGGCGGCCGCUGCAAAACCCGGGGCGUGAGCCCGGGCGGAGCGGCCAUCGGUGAAGAUCUUGGUAGUAGUAGAAAAUAUUCAAAUGAGAACUUUGAAGGCCGAAGAGGAGAAAGGUUCCAUGUGAACGGCACUUGCACAUGGGUAAGCCGAUCCUAAUGGACGGGGUAACCCUGGCAGAUAGCGCGAUCACGCGCAUCCCCUGAAAGGGAAUCGGGUUAAGACUUCCCGAGCCGGGAUGUGGUGGUUGACGGCGACGUUAGGAAGUCCGGAGAUGCCGGCGGGGGCCUUGGGAAGAGUUAUCUUUUCUGCUUAACGCCCUGCCAACCCUGGAAACGGUUCAGCCGAAGGUAGGGUCCCAUGGCCGGAAGAGCACCGCACAUCGCGCGGUGUCCGGGGCACCCCCGGCGGCCCAUGAAAAUCCGGAGGACCGAGUACCGUUCACGCCUGGUCGUACUCAUAACCGCAUCAGGUCUCCAAGGUGAAUAGCCUCUGGCU
rnacentral:ncRNA from 1 species